UUCACAGGAGUAUUCUACUCAAUUCACUGCCAUGUCAGCUAAACUUCUGAGUAUCAGGAUGGCACUUAACCCAUUCUAUUUCACUAGUGACUACUUACCUCGAACUAAUUAGAGAAAAGAACCAAGAACCAGUCUAUCUGGAAUUGAAGAUAAAGGCAUUUCUCCGCUGUGGAAAAAACUUAAAUAUAGCCAAAAAUCACAUAAUACAUUAUGAGCCUCUUCAAGUUUGUAAUUAACAAUUUUAAAAUUAAUAAAUAAAUAUUACUCCUUGUUUUUAUAGAACAAUUAAAUCUGUUCAUGAAUUCAUAAAUUCUUUUGGGAUUAUUCAGGUUAUUGCAAACAGUCCAUAAAUAAACUUCCAAACCCU